AACGAACGCUGGCGGCAUGCUUAACACAUGCAAGUCGAACGAAACCUUCGGGUCUAGUGGCGCACGGGUGCGUAACGCGUGGGAACCUGCCCUUAGGUUCGGAAUAACUCCCCUAAAGGUGUGCUAAUACCGGUUAAUCUCUUCGGACCAAAGAUUUAUGGCCUUUGGAUGGGCCCGCGUUGGAUUAGCUAGUUGGUAGGGUAAAAGCCUACCAACGCGACGAUCCAGAGCUGGUCGGUGAAGAUGAUCCGCCACGCUGGAAAUGAGACACGGCCCAGACUCGUACGCGGGAGAGCGGUAGGGAGUAUUAGACAAGGAGCGAAAGCGUAGUAAAGCAGUGCCGCGUAUGUGAGGAAGGCCUUAGGGUUGUAAAGCUGUUUUACCCGAGAUGAUAAUGACAGUAACGGGAGAAUAAGCUCCGGCUAACUACGUG
rnacentral:rRNA from 1 species